GCAAGUCGAGCGCUACCUUCGGGUGGAGCGGCGGACGGGUUAGUAACGCGUGGGAACAUACCCUUUACUAAGGAAUAGCCACUGGAAACGGUGAGUAAUACCUUAUACGCCCUUCGGGGGAAAGAUUUAUCGGAGAAGGAUUAGCCCGCGUUAGAUUAGAUAGUUGGUGGGGUAAUGGCCUACCAAGUCUACGAUCUAUAGCUGGUUUUAGAGGACGAUC
rnacentral:rRNA from 1 species